UGGGGAAUAUUGCACAAUGGGCGAAAGCCUGAUGCAGCGACGCCGCGUGAGGGAUGACGGCCUUCGGGUUGUAAACCUCUUUCAGUAGGGACGAAGCGCAAGUGACGGUACCUGCAGAAGAAGCACCGGCUAACUACGUGCCAGCAGCCGCGGUAAUACGGAGGGUGCGAGCGUUGUCCGGAAUUACUGGGCGUAAAGAGCUCGUAGGCGGUUUGUCACGUCGUCUGUGAAAUCCUAGGGCUUAACCCUGGACGUGCAGGCGAUACGGGCUGACUUGAGUACUACAGGGGAGACUGGAAUUUCUGGUGUAGCGGUGGAAUGCACAGAUAUCAGGAAGAACACCGAUGGCGAAGGCAGGUCUCUGGGUAGUAACUGACGCUGAGGAGCGAAAGCAUGGGUAGCGAACAGG
rnacentral:rRNA from 1 species